AUCGUCUCCAGUCGGUAGGUGUGAGUGAUGCUGUGGGAUCGUCUCCAGUCAGUAGGUGUGAGUGAUGCUGUGGGAUCGUCUCCAGUCAGUAGGUGUGAGUGAUGCUGUGGGAUCGUCUCCAGUCAGUAGGUGUGAGUGAUGCUGUGGGAUCGUCUCCAGUCAGUAGGUGUGAGUGAUGCUGUGGGAUCGUCUCCAGUCAGUAGGUGUGAGUGAUGCUGUGGGAUCGUCUCCAGUCAGUAGGUGUGAGUGAUGCUGUGGGAUCGUCUCCAGUCAGUAGGUGUGAGUGAUGCUGUGGGAUCGUCUCCAGUCAGUAGGUGUGAGUGAUGCUGUGGGAUCGUCUCCAGUCGGUAGGUGUGAGUGAUGCUGUGGGAUCGUCUCCAGUCGGUAGGUGUGAGUGAUGCUGUGGGAUCGUCUCCAGUCAGUAGGUGUGAGUGAUGCUGUGGGAUCGUCUCCAGUCAGUAGGUGUGAGUGAUGCUGUGGGAUCGUCUCCAGUCAGUAGGUGUGAGUGAUGCUGUGGGAUCGUCUCCAGUCAGUAGGUGUGAGUGAUGCUGUGGGAUCGUCUCCAGUCAGUAGGUGUGAGUGAUGCUGUGGGAUCGUCUCCAUUCAGUAGGUGUGUGUUGAUGUACAUUAAUAGACGGGUGUAUUAUGUGAUGAUAU